GAGAGCACAAUGUUUUGGGUGUUGUGGGUGGAGGCCAGGGUGUGUGUGGGUUUGUGGGGGUGUGUGUGUGUGUGUGUGUGUUUGUACCUCGUAUGUCUUAAUUUGUUAGAUAGAACACAUAAGGACAGGAAUUAAGUCAGUGACUGGGCAUGUAAGAAGAGUUGGUAAAUUUUACUCGUAUUUUCCUUGGUAGAAGUUAAAAAUUCAAGCAACCACGCUCCGUCAGUAGAGCAUGCGACUCUUGAUCUCGGGGUUGUAAGUUCAAGACCCACCCAUGUUGGGUGUAGAGAUUACUUGAAAAAAAAAA